rnacentral:rRNA from 1 species
AUGGCUUCCUCCGACGACGCGGCUUCCUUUAGGGUCGACUCCGCAGUCGAGGAGAAGAGCGCCGAUGACCUCUUGGCUGCGCUCAUUGAGAAGAACCCACAACUGAUCCUAAUUAAGUAUUUUGAUGAUCUGAAAAAGAAGAAUCCGCCAACUAAGGAUAGCAAGGCCCCACCACGUAGCGAUAUGUGCGCUCCUUACAGUCCACCAGUUCGGCUCCCCGUAGAUUCCAAUCAUUCUCCAAACAUCACCUUUUGUUUCAUGAACCAAAACAUCAAUCCCAUCAAAUCGUCGGCAUCCGGGUGGCCGACCUGGAAGACGGUCUCGAGUGGCUGCUGCAUGUCCACGGCAUUGUCGCCGCCAGGGACACCGCGGGUCACCUUCCUCUUCAACCGCACCAGGGAUAACUGCCAGAUCGCCUACGCGCCGCUGACCCCCUCGGUCAAGGCGACCAUCGUCGGUGUCCGGGUAAUCGACGGGGUGUGGCCGGAGGGUCUCCGGGGCCGCGUCGUCGCCGGAGUCACCACCGUGAGGGAAGGAGAGUUGCUGCUGCUCAACUCCCAGGACGGGAAGAUGCCGAUCAACUCUUCGACCGGCGCGACCGACCUCUCAAGGCGCGUCGUGUCGGUGGACCUCAAGGGCGAGGGGAAGCUGGUGGUCUCCUCUCAGACUGGUGGAAAAGAAGAUGAUGAUGGUGGUGCUGAUGUCGUUGCGCGAGGCGAGGCCGUCUUGGCGCCGAAGAGGGCCGGCAUGAGCAAUGCCACCUAUGAUCUUGGUUUCUGCAAGGUGGAGGUCAUUGUUGCCUGGUCCCUUGUUUCGAGCUUGGUGAAUGAGCGGCGCGCCGCCGCGAAACUCAUAGAGGAAAAGCCAUGA